rnacentral:rRNA from 1 species
UACGGGGGGGCAAGCGUUGUUCGGAAUUACUGGGCGUAAAGGGCUCGUAGGUGGCCAACUAAGUCAGACGUGAAAUCCCUCGGCUUAACCGGGGAACUGCGUCUGAUACUGGAUGGCUAGAGAUUGGGAGAGGGAUGCGGAAUUCCAGGUGUAGCGGUGAAAUGCGUAGAUAUCUGGAGGAACACCGGUGGCGAAGGCGGCAUCCUGGACCAACACUGACGCUGAGGAGCGAAAGCCAGGGGGAGCAAAACGGGGAUUAAGAA